UACGUAGGGGGCAAGCGUUGUCCGGAUUUAUUGGGCGUGAAGAGCGUGUAGGCGGCUUGGUAGGUCCGCUGUGAAAACUCGAGGCUCAACCUCGAGAUGUCGGCGGAAACCACUUGGCUAGAGUCCGGAAGAGGAGAGUGGAAUUCCUGGUGUAGCGGUGAAAUGCGCAGAUAUCAGGAAGAACACCUAUGGCGAAGGCAGCUCUCUGGGACGGUACUGACGCUGAGGUGCGAAAGCGUGGGUAGCAAACAGG
rnacentral:rRNA from 1 species